UACGAAGGGGGCUAGCGUUGUUCGGAAUUACUGGGCGUAAAGCGCGCGCAGGCGGUUUCUUAAGUCUGAUGUGAAAGCCCACGGCUCAACCGUGGAGGGUCAUUGGAAACUGGGGAACUUGAGUGCAGAAGAGAAAAGCGGAAUUCCACGUGUAGCGGUGAAAUGCGUAGAGAUGUGGGGGAACACCAGUGGCGAAGGCGGCUUUUUGGUCUGUAACUGACGCUGAGGCGCGAAAGCGUGGGGAGCAAACAGGG
rnacentral:rRNA from 1 species